rnacentral:rRNA from 1 species
UACGGGGGGGGCAAGCGUUGUUCGGAAUUACUGGGCGGAAAGGGCUCGUAGGCGGCCAACUAAGUCAGACGUGAAAUCCCCGGGCUCAACCCGGGAACUGCGUCCGAUACUGGCAGGCUUGAAUCCGGGAGAGGGAUGCGGAAUUCCAGGUGUAGCGGUGAAAUGCGUAGAUAUCUGGAGGAACACCGGUGGCGAAGGCGGCAUCCUGGACCGGUAUUGACGCUGAGGCGCGAAAGCCAGGGGAGCAAACGGG